GUGCUGUGGCGAGGCUGCUGGAGCUGGGAAAGGUGCUGGAGCGCCGUCAGCCCAGGCAGGGAGCCGCGGGGGCGGGCGGCCAGGGCUCCUCCUGCGCGGACAUCAGCACAGCUCUUCGCAUUUUAUCUGGGUCAGAAGCAACGCUCUGCUUCCCCAUAGCUACAAAUUCAUUAUGUGCAUCUCCAUCACCAUCUAUUGAAACUAAUUUAAUGUCAAAAAACCCUCCUCUACAAAGAGUGACUUUUUUGCACCUGUGCAGAAUCAGACUCGUUUUCAACUGUUUGUGCAAUGAAUAACUUCAAGUGCAGCACUUGUCGAGUUUGCCCUUCUGGCCAGCAGUUCAAACUGCUCACAUUCAUUUAUACCACGGUGCAGGAUACAUUUGCUAAGGACUACAGAGCACGUAUUUUACGAUGCGUGGAAGAAAUCCCUCCAAAUGAACUAAAUAUCUUUGCUACUCAUCAUGUCUCCUGUCCACAGGUGAUUUACAGGGCAAUUCUUAUUUUCUUUUUAUUGUUUUCUUUUGUAUUAUGGUUAAAAAGGCAAUGGACAGAUACUUAAAAGACAAAUCCCCGUUUCUGCUCUGUUUAACCCCUUAAAUGCGCACAGUGGUAAAUGCUGGUUUUCCCUGAAACACCAUUCUGUGGGCUGGCAGCUGUGUGGUAAUGUGGACAUUCUGCUAGAAGGAAUGGAGCUCUUGAAUGUUUUACAAAAAAAAAUUUUUUUUUCUCCAAAUUGUCAAUUGGUGACCAAACUCCUGUAGAUGUCAGGAAGAAGGAAUGUUAAGCAGUCAGAUUAAAAACAAAAGGAAAAAAAAAAAAAAAAAAGAAAAAAAGUUGCCUCUCCAGAUUUUGGCUCCCCUGUCUCAGACAAUAUUAUUGUUUCAUUAGUUGCCCAGUUAGCCAAAAUCCCUUCUGGGACAGACAGGCCCUACAUGCCAAAAGGAAAACAAACAAAUACACCAUCCUAUAAAACCUCUCACCCCUGUUAGUUUUCAAAGAAAAAUAUAAUUCAAGGCUUUUAAAAUAUGAUACAAGGGCAGGGGAGGUCAGAGGCUCUGAGGGCACCUUUGGAGGUCAUGUCAGAGGGCUGCUGUCCACAGCUGAUGGCUGCAAUGUUUUUAUUUACUCCCCAUCCUCUUUUUAAAUCUCCGCUUUGGAAACACACCUUUGGUGUGAAUAACUCUCUAGACUGAAGGGGGAUUUUGAGGCAGCAGGGGAGAAGAAAAGCCCCACCUCCUGAGCAGCAGUCACAGAAAUGGUGUGAGGCCCGUUGCAAGGAGGCUGCUGUGAAGUGUGACCAUCCCUCCAGUCUGGGCAAACCCUGACCUGCAAUGGCAAAUUCCCUGCUGAGGCUCUUUGCCUGCCAGGACUCCAGGACAGCAGCCCGGGUGCCUGGCAGGCUUGUUGAUGUGCCAGAGAUCGUGGAAUUGCUUUUCCAGCCAUUUCACAGGCCUAAGGUCAGACAAAAAGGCUCCUCUUCUGGCAGCAUUCCCAUGUUUUUUGUGUGCUUAGCAAUGCACACCCAGGUAACAGCAGUGACAAAACUGCAUGUCCCUGUCUGGCCAUUGCACUCAAGCAGUUGCAUCUCCAAAUGUUCUGGUGAUGCUGGAGUUCACUUGCAUGUGCAGCCAGGUGAGAGCUGCUUUGUUUUGCUAAUUAUUAUAAAUUUUUAUUUGCCAAUUAUUUUUUAAACAUAUAUGGACAUAUUUUCUUCCUCUUGCCUUUUUAAGAAUGCUCACUAGUAUUUCUACUUUAGAAAGCCCAUGUUCUCCUUUCAAUUAUUCUACAAUUGUUCUCUAGAAUUGAGAGGUAUUCCUGUAUUAAAUAUAUAAUGUAUGAGUACACUCAAUGGAUAUUCAUGCAGUAUUUCAAAUGAGAGUUGCUACUUUUCCCACAUGCUUAGUUAUCCAAUAGGAAAGAACAAGAUGAGAAUUUUCUGUCAUGGAAUGAAAAGCACACAAAAAUCUGGGGGCUCCAAGUAUUUCAGACCUGUGUAAUGUCACUGGAUUUACCUCCUAAUGCUCUGUGAAGGCACUAACCUAGAUAGUUUACGUAAGACUGCAGAAAUUCAAUUCCAGAAAUGAACCUUCGUAUCUUUAGGAACAGCUGGAGAGGCUCAGGUCUACUCAUCCUGCUCAGAAUGGACACGAGGAAUUUGGAUUAGAUGCAGAUGGAGUGGGGAUUUUGUUAAUGACAGAAAGAGAGGCAAACAUGUUGAGGCAUAACUGCCUGAACAGAAUCACAAAAUAUCUGUGUACGUAUUUCUGACUUUAAACGAUGAACACCAUAAACAUGCUAUCAUAUAGGAGGCAAAGCAUAUGUAAACGUAACAAUAUCCCAUUAACUCUCCAGCAAAGGAGAAUUUUCAUCACUCAUUCAUAUCCCAUUGAAACAGCACAAAGAUUCACCGCUGGCUGUUAAUUAUCCUCUAUAAAGAUCCGGUUAUUUUGUUCAAUUUUAGUAAAGGCACAGUUGUUAUUGUAGCGUGCAUAGAGAGAAUGGUACCUCAGGGAGCAGGGAAUAUGCUUGUGUAGAAUUGUGUAGAAUUUUAACUAGGAGAGUUCUGUUGCACUGAAGAGAUUCAUAGGGUAGGAUUUUGAUAUGUGCUUCAGGAAAUUAAGCUUUUUCGAGACAAAAAACCUUGCUGUGACUCUCUGAAUAUGUGAUAUCACUCAGUAUUUGAAAGACACCAGCCACUUAAAAAUAGCUUGCUGUUACUUAAAAGAAUUUCUAAGACUACUUUGACAGAGGGGUAGACAGGAGGAACUGGUCUGCCUUUCUCUGAAGUCUGUGACCCUCCAAUCACAUCAAGGAAGGUGUAUGCAAGAGUUCACAAGGCCCAUUCAUCUCCCUGGGUUUCUGAGGGGCACUUGGAGGCCACUAGCCAAAGCAGCAAUCCACUUCCUCCACACCAGCAUGCUGGAGGAACCGGGACCUUAGACAGGAGCUUUCUUGGCAGGGCCCAGUGUGACAGCAGGAGAGUGCCAGCUGGAGCUGCCCUUGGGCUGGGGGUAAUGCUGGAGUCACCAGGAUUCACUGGAGUUCAGGAAAAGAGCUGGGAACAAUGGUGGGCUAUGCCGGGGGCUGUGUGCUUUGUGCACUGAACUGCUGCAAGCACUGCAGUCACUUGGCUCUUCAGAGGGCUCAGGAAAGAUCUGCUGAAGGUGUUAUUUUAGAGGGUGAGUUCUUUCCCAUGUGCCUUCCUCUAUCUGAAUGUCAGGCAGGAGGAAGCAAAGCCAUGAGGCACUGGGUUGCUGAAGUCACUGCUGUUGGUAUGAAGCAGGUAGGUGGCUCUAGGCUCAUGUAGGAGGACCAGCCUUGCUCAGAGGCAGCACUGCAGCUGCAGUGAAGUCAGCCUCAUUCCCUGUUUCUCAUUUCUACUCAAUGCCUCUCUUCUCCUUGGUUCUGCAGGGAUAAGUAUAGAGUUCACAGAGUGCCUGUUGUUCCAAGCGUGCAAGUGGAAAGGACAGGAGAAAGCAUGUAACUUCAGGUGGAAAUACUGAGAAAAAUAAGAAAAGAAAAUUAGCAAAGCUGAAGGACGAUAAUUAAAACUUCUAUGAAUAUCAAGAAUGGCUAGGGACAAAGGGAACACAAAAAAGAUAUGGGGUCAGGAAAGUGAAGCAAGAGCUUUGGGGUGGGAUAUAAGAAACCACAAGACACGACAGGAUGAUCACUGUUGGUCACUGAGACACUGGCCAUGGCACAGCCCUGCUGAGGUGCCUGUCCCUGCCACACCACUGGGAUGUGACUCUGCUGGUCCUGUUGCUUCCUGCUUGACCAGACUCCAGCAGAAUGGAUGGUUUCUUUUGCAGUCUCUUGUGGUUAACCCAGUAUAGCAGCUAAGGAAUCAGCACCAAAAGGCACAGUUCACUUAGGAGAUGCUUGGAUCCUUGCCUUGCAUUGCAAAGGAAAGACCUGUGUAGGCUACCCCCAGAAUCCCACACUUGGGCUGAUUCUAACAAUGAAAUAGAUUGAUUAUACCUUCUGCCCAUCUGUCAGGACCGUGUUCAGCAUUAAAUCAUGUCCAGCUUGGAGCAGCUACUUUUCUUUGCUCCACUGUGAUGGGAAGAUUCAUGAUCCAAAACUUCCCACUCAGAGCAGCUAGAAACAGUUCAUUAAUGAAGUGUGGUACGUUGUUUCCUUUGCUUCUUUUAAGUUCUUUGAGAAGGAGGUGGGAGAUGCCCACUGCCAUAUGGCCAACAAGAGCUGUGGAAUGUCUCUUCUAUGAUAAGACCUGAUAGUUAAACCUGAUGUUUGUUGCUCAGGUGAUGUCUGUGAGCAAUCAGGAUUCCAAUGCAUUUCUACUAUUCUACAGCUAUUCUGCAUUUCUAUUUCUACAGCUUAGAAAGCAUUGCAAGACCAUUUUUGCCUGUAUGUCUUCUUGUCACUAGAAUUAUUUUUUACAUUUUGGCAUACCCUGAGGGGUAUGAGGGGAAGACCCAGACCAUAAAUGUUUUUGAGGUUUUAAUAGUGUUACUACAAACUGUGUCUUAUUCUAAUAGCUGCUUGUAAAGUUCCUGUUUAUUUAGGAGAGAGUUGUAUCACAUCUGUAUAAUUUUUAUUGUGUAAUAUUAAAACAUCUUGAGAGGAUUUUAAAGAUUUUUUCCUAUUGCUUUUUAGUGAUGAGUCAGAAAAUAGUUUUGAUGCCCUUUCUGCCUCUGAUUUUCCUGGCCCUCAGCUGUUGUCCUGCAGCUGGAACAGAUGCACACUGUACCUCCCAACAUCUCACUGGCACAAGGGGAAAAUAGCCCUCAGCAAAAUUCUGUGGGAGACAUGCUGUGCUCCUUGUGUAAAGCUGGUGGAUCAAAGAUAUAAACUUGGGGUAUGUGGGGUUUUCUUUCAGUUCCUGCAGGGGAGUAAGACUUGCCUUAACUAGAUUUGCCUUCUAGGAAUGCAAAGUCACUGUGGAAGAAUGCUGGGUCUUCUGGUGUCCUCAGUGUUUGGACUGGUUUUAUCAGCCUUAAAAUAAAAGGAUAGCAAAAUUAAUGUGCAAAAUGUUGCAAGAGAAAUGAUCAGCUGGCCAGCCUCUAAGGGAUGUGUUUGUACUCAUGUCCCAGCAGUUCAAGUGUGAUCCAGUUCAAGUGCUCAGGUGGAGCAACGGAGUGGGCAGAUGUUUUGUGCUCUGACCCGAGGAGUGGGGAGAGUUUGCUUUCCUUCCUCCCCUCUGUGUUUUUCCCUUCAUUCAGCCAAGCAGCCUGACCACCCAGUGCUGCAGCAUUUCAGUGCUACUUUGCAUCAGAUGCACACAACCCAAGGCAUGGGCUUUUCUAGUACAUAAAUUGCAUCUUCUUAUUGUGACUAUCCUAAUCUAUUUCUAAGAGUGCUAAUUCCAGGAAAUGGCUGUCAUUUUCUUAUGGCUCAAUUCAUACCAUGGUAAAACACUCCCCAACAAAGGAAGAGGACAUCUGCUUGUGUAGCCUUCAGUUUUGGCCUGAAUACUGUUUUAUACAGGGUUAGUCUUUAUGCACAAGGCAAAGAAACACAAAGGCAAAUGUUGACUGAAAGUCUGAAAGCUGUUGGAGAUGAGCUGGGAUCUCUGAAUGUUUAAGAAAAGGUGUAUCAAAAUCCAGAAUAGCUUAUUAGAGUAGUAUUUGUGAUCUUGAUUUCCACAUUUUGUGUUGUAGCAGCAGAGGGAAUUCCCUGAAGGUCAUUGUGCUGUGCCUCAAUGGCAUUCAGGGCAGCAUGGUUGGGAAGGAUUAAUGAGCUCAAUUUGGACCACCAGCUUUGAGGGGUUUGGGCCCCCACAGCAAGGCCUGGAUCAGCCCAAAACACCUGUCAAGGACACACCUGAAGAGAGAGGAGCCUAAGCAGUGCUGGGCCACAAGGUAGGUGACUGCAGCUUUGGGUUGGUUUGUGCUACAUAACAGAGCUCCUUUGGGACUCCAGCAUGGAAGCAAAUGUGUCAGCUGCACAGGUGAUGGAUGGAGUGAGUAGUUCUAGAAGAUAUGUGAGAAAAAUACAGAGAUGAGAUCAGCCACAGAGGAAAAAGACCAGAGGCUGGAUAAGAAUGAAAAAGAAACAAAGUGAGGGAGAGUUAUUCCACCUUCUUUAGUAUCAUAGAAUUAUUUAGGUUGAAAAAGUUCUUUAAGAUCAAGUCCAGCCAUUGACCCAGCACUGCCAAAUACACCACUAAACCAUGUCCCUAAGCAUCCCAUCUCUCUGGGCAGCCUAUCUCAAUGCUUGAUAACCCUCUCAGUGAAGAGAUUUUUCCUAAUAUCCAAUUUGAACCUCCCCUGGCACAACUUGAGGCUGUUUCCUCCUCCUGUUCUAUUGCUUGUUUCUUGGGAGAAGAGGCUGAGUCCCAACUGGCUACAUUCUUAGUUGAUGUGGAGUUGAGAGGUCCCCCUUGAGCCUCCUUUUUUCCAUGCUAAACACCCCCAGCUGCUCCUCAUAGGACUUAUUCUCUAGACUCUUCAGCAUAUUCAUUGUGUUUUUCUGGACACACUCCAGCACCUCAGGGUCUUGCUUGUAGUGAGGGGCCCAGGACUGAACACAGGUUUUGAGAUGUGGCCUCACCAGUGGAAAGAACAAGGGGAUAAUCACUACCCUGGUCCUGCUGGGCACUGUUUUGGGGACUAAAACAACUACCCAGCAUAAGCACUGAAUCAGAAACAUUUUGUUUGUGUGAAGGAAUCUAGAAUGUUUUUUAGCGCAAAAACUGCCCCUAAAAUGAGAGUCUGCCUCAUAGGAUGGAAAAAGGAAGCAUAUUCAGCAUGAAAGGGGUUAAAAAGUAGCAGGAGGGGCUUUAUCCUUCUCCUACUCAUUCUUUAUAUUUUCCUAGGAACUAACUUCCUCAUUAAAGGAUAUGUUAGGUAAACCAUGCUAAGUGGGUUUUUUUAAUAUCAUGAUUACACUUCAAAUGUAAAACCACACGUGUUGCUCUGGGCUCUUCCUGGGCCUCUCCAUGAGUGAGUGUGCACCUAAGGCAGGUGCUGCUGCCUUACCCACAGCUCUGCAGGGCUGGCAUUGCAGGAGCAGCCAGAGAGCAGCAGGGCAGAACGGCCAGGGGCCAAGGGAGCACUGGGUGCCUGGGACUAGAGCCCUGCUGGGAGAGGAGCUGGCAGUUUUCUAUUUGACAGGGACCAAACAUUGAGACAAACCAUUUUUGUAAUGGCCAGAUAAGAUGGCAGCAGGAGCAGUAACUGUGGAACAGCCUCUGGACAAGAGAGCGUUACAUCUUUGCUUUGGUUACUUUCAAUAUCUUUGUGUUCUUCAACCAGGACCCUGCUGAUUGCCCUUCCCAGACGCAGGCAGGCAGCUGGAGCGAGCGUGCCUGCAUGAUCCCUCCACAGCCCGUGAGAGGGAAUGCCUGGGCACCCCUGGGAGCCUGGCCCAAUCUCAGAUGCCAACCAGGCUACAGGUGCAUGCUGGAGGCAGAAGCUGGGCUGGUGGAGCUUGGGAGCUGUGUCUGCAGCUGGUCUGCUGCCUCCAGGAACACCAACCAGUGCUGUGUAGCACCACUUUGCAAAUUGUGAAGGUAUGUGGAACAUCUGCAAGAGGAAGGAAAAAUGUUUUCCAAAGAACAGAAUGGAACGCUACUUAGAUACUUAGUCAGAAGAGAGGAAAAGAAAAACUGUUGAUCCAUUCUUCAGGAUAGAAAGAUGAUGAAAUGGAGGAUAGACUGGGAUUAAAAAAUGGGAAUUUAUUUUUUGGUUCUGCCGUGAGACUUCACAUGUAAUCUCUGACAAGGCUCUUGAUGCUCUUGCACAUCUCACUCAUGUAUCUGAAAUGGAGAUCAUGUCUUCCACAAUCUAAAAAGAUUUUAUGAGGAGAACAGCCUCAAUGGUUGGAGUCCUCAAGUAGGGAGGUAAAGUAGUAUCAGAGGGAGUUCUCUGAUUUCUUUCUAUUAUUGGCACUGCUGAGUUAGAUAAGAAGCAAGCCAGGAUUUCAAACAGUUUUGGAGUUGAACAGUGUUGGUAUCCAACAAAGAGCAAAUGUUUUUUAUUGAGAGAUAAGGAUAUUUUGUUUCUCACAGUGCAAACACAAAAAUAUCGGUCUUUGUAGAUUAGCUUCAGCAAUAAAAAUACUUUGCACCUUCGCUAGUUGGGAGUUCUUGGACUUGGUUAAUACAUUCUAAAUGGUCUGGUACAGGCUGGAAUUAAACACAAGAUACUGGGCAGGGUGAGGCUUUUUCACUUAAGAUAAAGCCAGUUCUGUUCUCUGUGAAGCCUCUGCUUGCAACCCUCACAGUGAUGUCCACACAGCAAAUGUGGACAAACCAGUGAGGAAAUGGGAGAAAGGACCAUCAGCUCACUGCCAUGCUGGUUGCCAUUGAAUUUUGAUGAGUGAGUGUCUGCCUCUCUGCCCCCAUGGGAAACCCUCAAUGUACUUUAAUUCCUAUUGAUUUCUGUUUGACAAAAGUGAUAUCUAACUCACAGUUUAUAGAAGUCAAAAUCUGAGGUCCUUUAUUCUGACUUUGAUCAAUAAAUUUCUUUUCCUCAUGGAAAGCCUGGGGGCAGUUUACAAAGUUUCACAGAUAAUUUGUAACCCCUAAAAAUGUUGUGGGGUUUUGGUUUUGUUUUGUUUUCCUGUGGCUUUUAGAAACCUGCUUCCCAGCCUGCCUCCUCCAUUGCCUGAAAAUCAUGGGAAUAAAGAAAUGCUUUCUAACUUCCAAAUGUGAAUUACAACAGAACUGUGAGGAUCUGGGUCCCAGAACCACAGAAAUCAAGCGUGUGUUUAGCUUUGAGUUUCUGCAGGGUCCUACUGCUCUGGGCCCUGACUCUUAGGGAGCAGCAAACAAGAAAAAGGUAGCUCUCUCCCUCUGGACUAAAGAUAACUUGCAGAUUUAAGUGACUUGUUUUAUUGUAGAUGUUUAUGCUGAAUUGUCCUACUACAGAAAUUGUAUAAUUCAUCCAGGAAAUAAAAUGGCUCCAACGACUAACUUGAGAGUCACAUAAAAAAAUCAGUGAGUACUGCCAGCUUUCUAAGGUUUUAUAAUACUGUUCCCUUAGACUGUUAAAAUUCUAGUCAACUUGUUAAAUAUUUACUUAUUUAACAAACAUGCUGUUUUAAUCUCUCUCCUAUACCCUUAAGUAAUGAAUGACAAAGCACAACAAGAAGGAUACUCACCUAGUUUAUUUUAGAUUAGGGAAAACAGGGACUGGUAGGUAUAACAUAUUGAGUAGAAUGGGUAUUUACAAAAAAUAGCAAAAUGUAGGUAGUUUAGAUGACCAAGAGUAAAAUCUAAGAGUUUAUAGUAGUUAAGAGUUUAGAAGAUUUUAUUGCUCCAAGCCUUGGAGAUUCCUUAUACCUCGCUAGAUCAUUAUUAUUCUCUUAGCAACAAAAGAUUUUAAAAAAAGUUCAUAAAAAAAAUCUCAGGAUAAGAUCACAAACAUGUAGCAGCAAGAAUAACAAUGCCACACACAUCCCUUUGUCACCCAGUGACAAGAAUGGGCACAUCUGUUUUACUGGAGUUAAUCUUUUUGGGAAGAAGAGGGGAAUAGGAUUUGGAUGUUGAAUCCUUUCAUUAUCUUUCCUUUGUGUGGGAUAUGAAGGACAGUGAACCAGAGCACAGCUAGAUAUGGCCACAGGCAUCCAAGGCAGCCUAGGUGCAUUGAUUGCUUCAGCACCUGCAAGCAAGAUUGCUGAGCUUGAGAGACAAGUUUCCAUGUUACACAAUAUGAAGACUAAAAAGUUCCUGGAUUGUAUUUUUAGAGAUGUAAGUGUGCUUAGCAAAGGAGGGUCUGAGGUACACAGUGCAAGAAGAGAGGGAUAGAUGAAAGCUGAGUUACUGUGACUGGAACAUAGAAAGUCAGGCAGUCAUCCAGAAGGGAUUGUGAAUGUUGGAGCACCAGAGUUUGACCCUGGAGGUGUUACUGGUGUUACUGGCAGGUGAUGAACAGACAACCCUGGGGUGAAGUAAACAAACCUUGUCCAACACUACCAAGCUAUGAAGAGGGAGAAAUGUGACUGAGAGAAGCAGUACAGCAGGUUUAUGGAAGAUUGUGUCCAUUGAUCCAUGGUGCAGCACUGGCCUUGGACUCCUCUCACUGUGCUUCCUUCAGCACCCAGGCAGGUGCCAGAGACACUGUGACACUGGCAGGAGUGUCUCUGGCAGACCAGCAGGGCGGGGGGCCCUGCACUGCACUGAGAAGGGUGAGCAGUGCCAAGAACUCCGACUUAACUUCCUUCAGCUGUGUCUCCUGCAAUGAUACCACACCUGGAUAGCAGAAAAACCAGGAACAUUUAGAGGCCCAAGAUGUGUGUUCCUCACCAAACUCUAAGAAUAGUUAUACCCAUGGACAUCAGUGAUGUGACAGAUCAGAAAGUGGGAUGAGAGGCUUUUUAACAGCACUGAUUGCUGCUACCUUAAGAUCAAACUCCAGGCUGCCAGGACAUGAAGUUUAUCUCCAGUUUGCCAUGAAAUGGAAGAUGCUGUUUUCUCUUUGUGCUGCACUUGUAGAUUAUUGAAAGGGUAUCCCACAGGGUCUUCAAGAACAAAAUCUGGUCCUUCCUUUCAUGUUGGGUUUCAGCUCCUCAGUUUUGAGAAAUCUGCAUUAAAAAAUAUCUUUUUUCCCCCAAAGUCAAAGGGCAAAAGAUGGAGUAUGUCAUCAUCAAAGCUGGAUAGCAAUGGAUUAGAAAUCCAGCACCGACCAGUAGUCCUGUGAGCUGCAGAUCUGAUGGGGCUUGGUUCCCCUUGGGCAAAUCUUGUUUGGAUUCUCCUAGGUCUACAUAGCUGGAAACCCUGACUGCAGCUUUUCCUGUGGGGUAGGGAUUCGUGACAUCUUUCAUCUCUGCAGCUUUCUUGGUGUUCAAUAAGGGCUUAAUUCAAACGUCAGUGGGUCUCCUUUUACUCAGCAGCUUGUUCUUAUGAAACAUACAGGAAUUUUUCAGCCUUUUUUUGCUCUAUCAGAUGUGGUUAAAACUGGCUACUGUUUGUUCUUGUUCCCUCUCUCUUGCACAACAUGCAAGUAUGUACAUGCACAUCUGUCUGCACACAUGCGCGCACACACAGAAAUUUAUUUUACAUCUGAAGAGAUAAUGAUCUCAACCCCAUUUUAAUUUCUGCAGGAAUCUAGGCUGGGAAAAAAAGUAUUGCAAUGCUACUUCUUUGGGAGAGGAAAAGGAGAAUGAACUAAUUUUUUUUUUCUAUGCACUACACAGAUUAUUCAGUUACCACUUUGCUUAAACAUAGUAUGUGUUGCUGAGAAUCUGGCACUACUAUUCAAAAGUAAAAGAAGAAGUGGGCUCUGUGUCCUGGAACUGCAGUGUCGUGCUUCUGCACGGCACGCACGCUUUGCCUCCAGUGCAGAGUGAUCCUGCUGAGACUGGAGGAAUGCAUGGGGAACGGAGGCUUGCCACAACAUCCUGUCUCCAUUAUGUCUUUUGGACCUCUGCCACAGAAAAGAAGGAAUUUUAUCCUUCAUUUGUAAGUAAUUAAGAUGAUAGCAGAGUUUGAAUUUUCCAACUUUGUGAAAACAAACUAAUAGCAAUGAUCCACUUCAAUAACUCAGAUACUAAUUGACACAAGAGAGAGAAACAAUACAUUAAAAAAUAAUUAACUUUUGUUAAUUAAUUUUUAGGAAUAGGAAGGACACCUGCAGCAUGUGCAGAUGUUUGCAAGUGUCAUUAGACUGGGAAGGUUGUGCAGUAGUUUGGAAAUAGAAACAGGUAAAAAGGACUAGGAAUGAUCUGCAGCACCAUUUGAGAAGUAAAGUAUGUGAUUGCUAGAGAACUGCAAUAAAGGUGAUGAAGAUGUGCAUUUUUUAAGGAUGUUUAUAGAAGCCAGAGGUUAAUUAGCAGUUAAAAAGCAUCCACUGGCGUUUUAUGUGAGCACCAUGAGUGUGUUAAUUAUCAUUUUCAGCCUCAAAUAUGUCUCUUUCAGACUUAAGCUGAAACAGAUUGAUGAUUCUUUUACUGAGGCGUUUCUUAGAUAAAUUUUAAUUAGUACCUUUCCCCCCUCCCCCCAAACAGUUUUCUCCUAUGACCAGAAGUGGAAUUUCAUCUCACUCAGCUUUCUCUUCCUUGGUGUUUGUGAUGCAGUUCCAGUGCUAUCCGUGGCAAAGCAGGAAGGUAAGAGAUAAGGGGAAUGUAUGUACAAUGUACAGUGUAAGAGUAAGGGGACUGUUACCAAGUCUUGUCCAAAUUAUAGAUUCCGACUUUGCAGAAAUGUAGACACAGGAAAACGUGACACAAACCCGGGAACUUUCCACCUCCUUUUUCAAAGUUAGGCACAAAUGUAAUUUGUUCUGUUCAUCCUAAUGCUUUUGUCUACUCUCAUAAAAUGAUGCUUCUAGGAAGGACCACAGAAGUUUUAUAUGCCCCUGUGAACAUGCCUGAACUCUCCAAAAACUGGGGUUCCUCAUAGGGACAGUGGACCAGGCACCUUGGGGGCAUUUAAGCCCCCAGACUGAGAUGACAGGGGCUGUGUGUAAUCCCCUAGCACCAAUUAAAAGAAAAUGGUGAGAACCUCUCUGAGGUCUGGUUGCUCUUUGCAUCAGACACCUCCCAGGGAAGGCUCUCAUGUCAAAGUUUCCUGUCUAGCCCUUUUCUGUAGGUUGCUAACCACAACUUCUUUUUCAAAGAUCCCAUCAGGGAUUUUUUUUUCCCUAAGAAACAAAAAAACUCCUUCAUCUGAAGAUAUGUAAGAAUUCAGAACCUACACAGAGGUUUCCAAAUGACCUUACAGGGACAUUACACUGUUCAGAUCACACUGUGGCCUUCUGGCUGCUGGAACCAAGACCUGCAGAGAAAGCAUGGGACGUGGUUUGGACUACAGACCCAGACUUCCUUCUCCUACAGGGAGCCACGGAGUCUUACUUGCUUUUGUUUUGGGAAUGGGAAUUCAGACUGAGCUUCAUAGAGGUAAGCCACUUCAUCCCUCCAGAGGUACCUUCCUUCAGAAGCUGUAACUCCUGCCAUUCUGUUUUCAAAUUUUCAGCAAACAUAUGUGCACACAUAUAAUUUGCUAGUCUCUUUCAUUUCACUGGCCUCCUUUUCUAUCAGUACUAUUAAAAAUAAACCACCAAAUUGUGAGAAAAAAUUACACUAGACAAGAAAUACACAAGAUUUUUUCCCAUUCAGGUGACUUUAUAUUUUAUCUAUGUAUCUAUUUAAUUACUUCCAUUCCAGUUUUGUGCUGGAUAGUGGAGGAAAAUCUUUAGAUGCUCUAUUACUGAUUCUGCAAGUCACAGUUAUGUGGCCUCUUCAUCUGAACAAUUUUUCUAACCUUACCUAAUGGAUCUACAAUUUUUCCCCCAAUUGUUUAUAUGAUUAAAUUUUAUCUGUUAUGAUGACCUUGAAGGGCACCAAUUAAGGAUAAACAAACAGGAUAAUGAUGGGGCCCAAAGACAGUAACUUCUAGGAAGCUUGAAAAAAGAUGUCUAUUUCUCAUUUAAGAGGGGUGAAAUGAAGAAUGAUUAACUUGCUAAAUGGCAAAUUUUCAGCUAUGUACUGAUCUGCUUUUUCCUGUUGGCUCUUCCCAAAUGGGAGGGAUAUUAGAUGUCUUUGUCUCAUCUUCAGUAGAAAAAAAUUUUGUUAAUGAAAAAUAUUCUUACUUAGAUGAACUGUGCUGCCAGCUGAAUAAAAACCACACAUAUUUUACAAGAUUUAACUAAUAUACUCUUUAUUUAUUUCUUUACACAACUAAAACCAAGAUAAUGAAAUUAAGGGGAAAAAAACCCCAAAACCUUCGGCAAUUACACUAAAUUUUGUUCCCUAUUAUAAUAACAUACUUUAACACAAGGAAGUUUUCUCUAACAUUAUUAAGAACAGAACCUGUUUAUGGGUCAAAUACCAGACGUCUGUAAUGAACUUGAAAAUUUGCAAAAUAUACAAAAAUGUAUCACCUGGGGAAAGUUACAGCUGUAACAAACAAGGAAGAAUUUCUGAUUAAAAAGGAACAUGACUUAUUUUGUCCCAAUUGCUCAAAAAAAUUCAUAAA